UACGUAGGGUGCAAGCGUUAAUCGGGAUUACUGGGCGUAAAGCGUGCGCAGGCGGUUCGCUAAGACCGAUGUGAAAUCCCCGGGCUUAACCUGGGAACUGCAUUGGUGACUGGCGGGCUAGAGUAUGGCAGAGGGGGGUAGAAUUCCACGUGUAGCAGUGAAAUGCGUAGAGAUGUGGAGGAAUACCGAUGGCGAAGGCAGCCCCCUGGGCCAAUACUGACGCUCAUGCACGAAAGCGUGGAGAGCAAACAGG
rnacentral:rRNA from 1 species